rnacentral:sRNA from 1 species
GUAAAUGUUAGAUGCUUUUAUGUCCUCUGUUUUCUGUUUCCACUUCUCGUUAUCAGACCGUAACUUCUCCCAUAUCUCAUCUUGGAUCCUCUGGAUCUGUAACUCUUUGGAGACCACAAUCCAAAUCACAAUAUCAAACUCGCCCCCAACUCUAGAGAAUCUAUUGUUGAUAUGACUGAGAAGUGUAGUUUUACCUACUCCACCCAUACCAUGAAGACCAAGAAUCCCAAUCUCAUCUUCCAUUAGACGGUUCCACGCACUCUCA